GAGAGUAAACAGUACGUGAAACCGCAUGCAGGUAAACGGGUGGCGUCAAGCUGCAAGCCCAGAGGAUUCAGCCGGCUAGUGUGUAGUGUAUGCGCCAGCGCAUCGAACGGCCAGUGUAAGAUUGGGUAGUCUACUGGAAGACUGUGGGCCCUGCCGCAAGGUGGGGAUGUGUGUACCGGGCGGAGGCCGGAACACGCUAUCCGUCUAUUGGGCUGCCUAGCCGGUGCACUUUCUCUGUGGUGAGCACCACGACCGGUGGAACUGCCAGUCUGUCAUAGUCAAGUUGUAGUGGGUGGGCUUUCGGGUCUGCCUGCUGUGAUCACGGGCGUACUUGGUAUACGGCGUUAGUGCAUCUUUACGGUGUGCCGACGUGUUAUCGGCUACUAGUCGCUUUAUCGGGCCUGCUUAAUGCAUGUUAUAGCUGUGUGUUUGGUGGUCUGGUGGACUUUGAUGGUAAUAAUAACUGUGCAGGGCACCGGAGUUUUCGGCCUCAAAUGCAGUCAGCAUGCGUGCUAUAAGUGUAAUGUGUUUGUGGGUGUCGUCGCGAGCUGGCUGUUGUUGGAUUUGAUUGUCGUGUUGCCUGCGAUAAGUGGGCCCGGCAGUGGUUCGAUGCAGAUUGGUCUCGUUGGCGGCGCCUACCAUGUAGACUGUGGUGGGCCAGAUAGUCUGUGGUGUAGUGGUAGACGAGCUACCCGACCCGUCUUGAAACAC
rnacentral:rRNA from 1 species